rnacentral:rRNA from 1 species
AUUGAACGCUGGCGGCAUGCCUUACACAUGCAAGUCGAACGGCAGCACGGGUGCUUGCACCUGGUGGCGAGUGGCGAACGGGUGAGUAAUACAUCGGAACGUACCUUAUCGUGGGGGAUAACGCAGCGAAAGCUGUGCUAAUACCGCAUACGCCCUGAGGGGGAAAGCGGGGGAUCGAAAGACCUCGCGCGAUUAGAGCGGCCGAUGCCUGAUUAGCUUGUUGGUGGGGUAAAAGCCCACCAAGGCGACGAUCAGUAGCUGGUCUGAGAGGACGAUCAGCCACACUGGGACUGCGACACGGCCCAGACUCCUACGGGAGGCAGCAGUGGGGAAUUUUGGACAAUGGGGGCAACCCUGAUCCAGCAAUGCCGCGUGAGUGAAGAAGGCCUUCGGGUUGUAAAGCUCUUUUGUCAGGGAAGAAACACCGGCUCUAACACAGUCCGGGAAUGACGGUACCUGAAGAAUAAGCACCGGCUGACUACGUGCCAGCCGCCGCCGUAA